ensembl:snoRNA
CCGCACUGCCUUUGACCCGGCGGGGUGCCCUGCUCGCGGCGCCGCCGGCCAAGCUGUAGUGCUAGAGCGAAGCGCUUGUUCAUAACUGGUGCUGCUCGGCCCGACCCGGGUGGUGCUUUUAAAAGCAAGUGACAGCU